rnacentral:rRNA from 1 species
GACGAACGCUGGCGGCGUGCUUAACACAUGCAAGUCGAACGGUGAAGCCCUUCGGGGUGGAUCAGUGGCGAACGGGUGCGUAACACGUGAGCAACCUGCCCCUGGCUCUGGGACAACCACUGGAAACGGUGGCUAAUACCGGAUACGACCCGCCUCGGCAUCGAGUGUGGGUGGAAAGUUUUUCGGCUGGGGAUGGGCUCGCGGCCUAUCAGCUUGUUGGUGAGGUGACGGCUCACCAAGGCGACGACGGGUAGCCGGCCUGAGAGGGCGACCGGCCACACUGGGACUGAGACACGGCCCAGACUCCUACGGGAGGCAGCAGUGGGGAAUAUUGCACAAUGGGCGAAAGCCUGAUGCAGCGACGCCGCGUGAGGGAUGACGGCCUUCGGGUUGUAAACCUCUUUCAGCUCCGAAGAAGCGAAAGUGACGGUAGGGGCAGAAGAAGCACCGGCUAACUACGUG